rnacentral:rRNA from 1 species
AGUGAACGCUGGCGGUAGGCCUAACACAUGCAAGUCGAACGGCAGCACAGUAAGAGCUUGCUCUUACGGGUGGCGAGUGGCGGACGGGUGAGGAAUACAUCGGAAUCUACUUUUUCGUGGGGGAUAACGUAGGGAAACUUACGCUAAUACCGCAUACGACCUACGGGUGAAAGCAGGGGAUCUUCGGACCUUGCGCGAUUGAAUGAGCCGAUGUCGGAUUAGCUAGUUGGCGGGGUAAAGGCCCACCAAGGCGACGAUCCGUAGCUGGUCUGAGAGGAUGAUCAGCCACACUGGAACUGAGACACGGUCCAGACUCCUACGGGAGGCAGCAGUGGGGAAUAUUGGACAAUGGGCGCAAGCCUGAUCCAGCCAUGCCGCGUGAGUGAAGAAGGUCUUCGGGUUGUAAAACCCUGUUGUUAGGGAAGAAAAGCUGUGGGAUAAUAUCCCGCUGUUCUGACGGUACCCAAAGAAUAAGCACCGGCUAACUACGUG